UUGCUUCGGCAGCACAUACACUAAAAUCGGAACGAUACAGAGAUUAGCAUGACCCCUGUGUAAAGAUGACAUGCAAAUUUGUGAAGCAUUCCAAAUUUUU
rnacentral:snRNA from 1 species